GCUAAUACCGGAUAAGUCUUUACGGAGAAAGCUUUAUGCACCAUUGGAUGAGCCCGCACUUGAUUAGUUUGUUGGUAGGGUAAUGGCCUACCAAGACUAUGAUCAAUAGCUGAUUUGAGAGGAUGAUCAGCCACAUUGGGACUGAGACACGGCCCAAACUCCUACGGGAGGCAGCAGUGGGGAAUCUUGCACAAUGGAGGAAACUCUGAUGCAGCGAUGCCGCGUGAGUGAAGAAGGCCUUUGGGUUGUAAAGCUCUUUCGUCGGUGAAGAAAAUGACUGUACCCGA
rnacentral:rRNA from 1 species